CUCUGAGCUUCAUUUGACCUCUUUAUCACCACUUGGUGAAGGAACUGUCAGAUCCAGCUAUGGAUUGAAGAUGGAACAACGAUUGUUCAAGAGCCCACAGUCAUAUGGAUGAUGGAAAACAAAAACAUGAAAUACAUACAGAAUCUGUACAAUAAUGAUUCAAAAGAGCCCAGGAGUGUUGGUUGGAGGCAUUGUGGAUGAUAGAGACCUAAGCUGAACUUGGAAGGGUCAACACCAUUUGCAUACGGGAAUGGAUCAAAGGCCAUUCCCAGUGAGAAAGAGAGAGAGAGAGAGAGCAAGCACAAGCAGGGGGAGCAGCAGAGGGAGAGGGAGAAACAGACUCCCCGCCGAACAAGGAGCUGGAUGUUGGACUCUAUCCUCAGGACCCUGGCAUCAUGACAUGAGCUGAAGGCAGAUGCUCAACUAACUAAGCCACUCAGGCAUCCCUAAAUGGUAACAAGGUUAACAGCACUCAUCUUACAGUGAAGAAGGAAUGGGAUAAUGCAUAUUUUAAGCACCUUGAAUUGCAAAAUGCAAUAUCUAUAUUGAUUUAUUUAUGUUUAA